rnacentral:lncRNA from 1 species
UUUGAUAUGGUUAAUGCCAUUGAAAAAAUAUUUAAAAUCUCUUUUCUUCAAGAGGAAUUAUCUAUUACAUCCCAGUUGUCUAUGUAAAUUUUUGUUAGGAUCUGCAUGUGAUCAGAAGAAGACAAAUUGCUCUCAGAGUCUGAUAGUGACCUACCAACGUCUUCUCGAUCCUUGCAUUGACUGACCUCAUAGUCUAAUAGUGACAUAUCAAAGUGUUCUUGUCCUUGCGUUAAG